AUGCCGGCCCCCUUGUUUGCUUGCCUCUCCGACCCGGGCUCUGGCUCUAGCCCUGAUGGCAGCACACCAUCACCCCCUCUGCUCAAGAGAUCCAGACACCCCAGCCCGUCCGUACAAAACCAGAACCGCGGCUCCAUACCUCGCCGCCUCUCCUCCUUUUCCUCCUCUCUCUCCCGCUCCGCCGUCCUGCCCCCAUCCACCCGUGCUCGACCCCGACCCUGGAUCCCAUCCCGCCGGAUCCGAGGCGUCUGGGCGUGGAGGCGAGCUUCUCCGACGGCAGCGAUGACCACCAUCCAGGCCCCCUUGCUCACGGAGGAGAGGCUACGACCGAGGGGAUGCAGAGGAGGAGCGGGCCUCGCGGAGGAGGGGCCGCAGCUGCGGGAGCUCUCCACGGAGGAGGAUUCUGUGGUGGUGGAGCAGAGCGUGCGGUGGAGCGGAAGUAGCAGUGGAGGCUGGAAGAGCGCGACGUGGCAUCAGGUGGCUGCAGUGGCCGAAGGGGCGAUGCGGCGUUGCUGCCUCUACCUCCAUCCUGACCCUUUUACUCGUGCACAGGCUAUACUUGCAAGUGCAUUUGCUCGUAAGGACCAUUCGAAGGCCAAGGCCACAGCUUACCACGUACCGCAGCUCGGAUUGAUCUUGGGGCUUCUCCUGGGCCUACUUCUUGGAGUUGGCCUCCAUACAGGUUCGAGAUUAUUUACAGAAGACCGUGGUGUACUGCAUCAUAUCUACAUGGCAACACCGAUACUCGUGGCUGUUGUUAGCAUCGCUUGCAUGGUCACCCUCGCCAGUUACAGUGAUUUCAUUGGAAUCUGGAUAGCCUUGUCCAUCUACAUGUGCCUCCGCAUGUUUGCAGGAUUAUGGAGGAUUGGGACUGCUAGCGGGCCAUGGGCUUUCCUUCGCAGCUGA
rnacentral:rRNA from 1 species